rnacentral:rRNA from 1 species
GUUAAAAAGCUCGCUAGUUGAACCUNNCNUUUCCGCGCCCGCCGGUCCGCCUCACCGCGNUGCACUGGUGCGGCCGGGGCUUUCUCCUGGGGGUCCGCAUGCCCUUAGCUGGGCGUGCGAGGAACCAGGGCGAUUACUGUGAAAAAAUUAGAGUGUUCAAAGCAGGCCUAUGCUCGGAUACAUUAGCAUGGAAUAAUGGAAUAGGACGCGCAGUUCUAUUUUGUUGGUUAUGGGACCGCCGUAAUGAUUGAUAGGGACAGUCGGGGGCAUCAGUAUUCGGCAGUCAGAGGUGAAAUUCUUGGAUCUGCCGAAGACUAACUACUGCGAAAGCAUUUGCCAAGGAUGUUUUCAUUAAUCAGGAACGAAAGUUAGGGGAUCGAAGACGAUCAGAUACCGUCGUAGUCUUAACCAUAAACUAUGCCGACUAGGGAUCGGACGAUGUUACUUACUGACUCGUUCGGCACCUUGUGAGAAAUCAAAGUCUGUGGGUUCCUGGGGAGGUAUGGUGGCAACGCUGAAACUUAAAGAAAUUGACGGAAGGGCACCACCAGGGGUGGAGCCUGCGGCUUAAUUUGACUCAACNCGGGGAAACUCACCAGGGUCCAGACACAAUAAGGAUUGACNGAUUGAGAG